rnacentral:lncRNA from 1 species
AACAAAGAGUUUCCUGGACAAACAUCAGUCGCCUAAUCUGAUUCUAGUGUUUACCCAAAUAGCAAAAAAACCAACAAAGGGUUUAGAAGAAGAAGAAGAAAAGCAGUAGAGGAGGAGAAAGAAAGACACAGAAAACAGAGAAGAUGACACAAUUUUCUCACUUCCUUGUGUGGUGCCAAUUGCCAAAGCUUUGAAUUUAAUAGGGACUUCUCUUCCA